CAGUAUACAGUUUUUUUAUUUAAAAAAUUAAAUACAAUUUUAAGAAGUGUUUGACAAUUAUUUCUCACUGCUUAUAAAAAAGCAAAAGCUUUCGUUUCGCCUGACAAUCAGAAUAAUUGAGCGCUGGCAUCCACUUCCAUCGAUUGUAAUGUUUUAUUCAGAAAUGCGGAUAACUGAGUGGACGCGUGUAAUGAUGUCCUUCGCAUCCGUGCUGAUUGUGAUCCGAAAAAACUGUGCAGGACAUCCGCCGGGAGUGUGCCAAUGGAAGCCCGAGUUGUAGAAGAAUUGCGGACAUAACAUGGCUAAUGAAAUGCCCGUGUUGAGAGUAAGGGAUCCUUUUGCCCCACGGGUCUGUCCUGCUUCCGAAAACGGGUGUCUUUGGGUCCUCGCCAUCAUGUCUAAACAUUGCACUCAACUAAUUGAAACUUUUUGUGGGACACUUUUUGUGCGAUGCCGUUUCCUGGCCAACAGAGGUCCAGGCCAAAGAAGUCCACUUUUUUCUCCACUGGCCAGAGCAAACAAAAAAUAUGAAAGCAAAUAAAAGUUUUAUUCGGAAAUAAUUCCACGGUUGCCAACGACAAAAAAUCUAAAUAAAUACGUAACUGACCACAGGUUUAGAAAAA